rnacentral:lncRNA from 1 species
AGGACACUGCAGUAAGAAGAAGUUGGGAGCGACAAGCAAAGAAGACUGUAAAGAAGUUGUUCAUCAGCACAGAGUGUGAUAUCCUGAAAGCCAAAUGAAGAAAGAAGCAAGCAUCAAGAUCAAGAAGAAAGAAGUAAACCAGUUGUGUCAAAAGUUGGUUCAGGCCGGGCGCAGUGGCUCACGCUUGUCAUCCCAGUACUUUGGGAGGCUGAGAGACCAAUUAUUGAAGAUAGUUGUGCCACAAUAUGGAUGAAUCCUGGAUACAUGAAUGCCUGUGUGGAACAGAGCCCGCUGUCUACUGUAUUGGAUUCUGAGGUGCUCUGUUGUCAUGAUGGACCAUCAAUCUCUUGGGGAAGACAUCAUUCUGAGAAGACAGUUUGGACAGAGAAAAAAAUAGUUUGUACAGGAGUUUGGAGUCAUUCUGGAAAAUCACCUAUUGUCUGCCACUCUGUUUGUUUAUGGCUUAAAUACCACACUUUUGUCUGAUCGCACAGAGAGAGGACUGAGCGUCAAAUCUGAAGGAGGUAUUUCAGCAAAAGCACCACGAGAUGCUAAGUCCCUAAGGCAAUGCUGUUUUGUGGCUGCUGUGGAAGAGAGUGGCACAGAGGGAUUGGGAGCAGGGUGAGCUAGCCUGUGUCUCUCAUGAAGACGUGGUAGCAGAUGUCACUUUUUGGUGGGUGUUAACAGUGCCUCAGGGACAUAGGCAGCUUCAUGACGCUUUUGUGGCUGGCAACAACAGAACACAUCAAAGCAGAGGGGCGGGAGAGGAGGAACAUGGUGGGAUGGCAGCCAAGAGAAUUUGUUUACAAACAUCUGUGACAUUUUCAGUGACCCCCAGGGAUACUGUAUGGGGAAGAAUUUGCAUCAGAUGGGAAUCAUAGUAGUAUGUAAGGAGGAAGGAGAAAUAUACUUUUUAUUAGUGUUAAGAAAAUCCUAUUUUUAACCACUAUACUGAUUCGUCCUGAGGGAAUCUUGGUUACAUUUUAAGUAAGUGGAAUGUGUUUUAAUUGACAAAGUCGAGUUUACCCAAGGUCAAAUAGGGACAUGACAACCACUAGCAAUGAUUGUAAAUGAUUCAUGAAGCUUGGGAGAGGUGAUCAAAGUCAAUGAAAGGAGCAAUUUGAAGUCCAUUCUCAUGAAAUCAUAGACAUGAUAGUGCAUUGUGAUAUGGAUCCAUCAGUGUGUCAUACUGUGAAACAAACAAACAAACUGAAUAUCUUACCAGAAAUCAAUUCCUAAGCAGCCGUAAGAGCGCAGGGUUUUGGGUGAAAAAUAGCAGGGCUUUGCAGAGAAUCAAUAACAUCAAACUAGCCUGUUUUCCUUCUGUGACAGAGUGAUAGACAAAUUGAAACACAUUAUAUUUUGACUUUGCUAAGGCUUUUGAUUUUUCUCAGUGAGAAUUUUUCAACACAGAGGGUAAUUCAACAGAUAUCUUUGGAAUGCUAAGGGCAUAUGCUACGUAACAGGUAUACUGUGAUUAUCAUUCUCUUUCUGUGAGAGAUAGGGAAUCUUGUGAGAGUGGAAAGAAAUGUGGGCUGGUAAGUACAAAUUAGGGCUAACCGCCUUUAACCUAAUUAGGUGCAAAGUGCUAGAAGUAGCACAAACGUAGAGCCCCUAGAACUCCCUGGGGUGGUCUCAGAAACCUCCGUUAAAUAAGGAAAACUUGAGUAAUAGCUAGGAAUCUGGCUAUUACUCAAGAGAGCUGGAAAUAAGGUCUUGGGAGUUAGGAUAAAAGCAUUUAUCUCUACUACUUGCACACUCACAAAAAUAUGCAAGAGCUGCCACAAACUCCCCAAAGUGCAUUGUCAUUCUCCUCCAGGACCUAAAAAGUUGAUCUUUGUAUCUAGAAACAUGGACAUAGCUCUGAAUUCAAAAAAUUAAGGUGGGAAUAGUAGUAGAAGAUAAAACAAAGAAACACACACACCAAGAUACAGUCCUAGACCUGUCUGAUCAUUUGAUUGCCAUUAUAAUCUUAUGAGUCCACAAUCAAUCAGUCAACUCUGCAGAUGGUAGCUGCCAAUACAAGUAUUUCUCUGCUGUCUAAUUGACUAUCCUUUCCUUGCUUGCUAGCAAAUGAAAGAAAAUGAUAUCACAUGUUUCAGCUGAUCAAGGAAUAACUGGCCAGGGGUCACUUGGUAUGACAGCCAUCCAGGUUUCAGAAAUGACACAAAAGAUAUGGAUAAAGUCACUGACUGGAGAUAAUGGUGUCAGGAGACACAAAUGCAUAUAUUAUCUGCAUUUCCCUGAUCUCUGCAUUUUCUUUCAUGCUGCAGUUUGGGGAAUAAAUGGUGGAAAUAAAUAUUGACUCCUGGGUCAUGACAACUGGUACAUAUCUUUGCUACAUGUUUAAUAUUUUUGUUGUAACAAUAAUUAGUUACAACACAAAAAUUAUACAUUGUCUUUAGUUUAAGUAGUAGGAAGUUGGAGUUCUUUUGUUUCUUGAUUCACCCAUAAAAGGAAAAGUAAAUCCACACAUUCUAAAAGGGAAAAAAUAGGUUAAAACAAAGAUUUGGACCUAAGUCCUUAGUAGGACUAUCUUGAAUGGAUUCAUAUGCUAAAGGGUCAGAGAAUGCAAGAUAAUUGGAGAAUUUGCAGUGAACUUGCAGUGAAUGCAAUACAGUUGUACCCCCAAAUACUUUUGUAUUGCUAGAAACAGUGUAUGGAACAUAUUGCAGAAGUGAGGGGCUAGAAAAUUGGAAAACAACCAGAUUAUGGAAGGUCUCAUGUAUACUAUUCUGGGUCUUUUCAAAUCCUUCACCUCUAUCAAAACUCGUACUAUUUCCCAUCACGUUUUUCUCAUUUAUUGAUUCAUUAAUCUACUUUUUCUUUCUCAAACGUUUCUGUUGAUACAAAACAUACAUGUAGAAAACUGCAAAACUCAGUAAGUUUUCACAGGUUGAAUAGAUCUAUGUAAACAGCACCUAGAUGAAGAAACAGAACAUGAUUGGUACCCAAAAACUCCAUAUAGCACCUUCCUAAUUCCCCCCAAAGAUAAGUACCAUCCCGGCUUCUAACAACAUAGGUUGAUUUUACCUGUUUAUAAACUUUAUACAAAUGAAAGUGUACAAUAUUUUUUCUUUUGUGACUGGUUUCUUUUGCUCAACAUUACAUUUGUGAGAUUUAUCCAUAUUGUUGCAUGUAUUUAUAGUUAACGUAUUGUCACUGAUGUAUAAGAUUCCAUUAUGUAAAUAUACUGCAUUUUAUUUACCUCUUCAACUAUACAUAGAUAUUUGAUUCACAUUUAGUUUUUGGCUAUUGUAAGUAGUACUGA